rnacentral:rRNA from 1 species
AGUCGAACGGAAAGGGCUCUUCGGAGGUACUCGAGUGGCGAACGGGUGAGUAACACGUGGGCAAUCUGCCCUGCACUUCGGGAUAAGCCUGGGAAACUGGGUCUAAUACCGGAUAGGACCUCAAGACGCAUGUCUUCUGGUGGAAAGCUUUUGCGGUGUGGGAUGGGCCCGCGGCCUAUCAGCUUGUUGGUGGGGUGACGGCCUACCAAGGCGACGACGGGUAGCCGSCCUGAGAGGGUGUCCGGCCACACUGGGACUGAGAUACGGCCCAGACUCCUACGGGAGGCAGCAGUGGGGAAUAUUGCACAAUGGGCGCAAGCCUGAUGCAGCGACGCCGCGUGGGGGAUGACGGCCUUCGGGUUGUAAACCUCUUUCACCAUCGACGAAGGUCCGGGUUUUCUCGGAUUGACGGUAGGUGGAGAAGAAGCACCGGCCAACUACGUGCCAGCAGCCGCGGUAAUACGUAGGGUGCGAGCGUUGUCCGGAAUUACUGGGCGUAAAGAGCUCGUAGGUGGUUUGUCGCGUUGUUCGUGAAAUCUCACGGCUUAACUGUGAGCGUGCGGGCGAUACGGGCAGACUAGAGUACUGCAGGGGAGACUGGAAUUCCUGGUGUAGCGGUGGAAUGCGCAGAUAUCAGGAGGAACACCGGUGGCGAAGGCGGGUCUCUGGGCAGUAACUGACGCUGAGGAGCGAAAGCGUGGGGAGCGAACAGGAUUAGAUACCCUGGUAGUCCACGCCGUAAACGGUGGGUACUAGGUGUGGGUUUCCUUCCUUGGGAUCCGUGCCGUAGCUAACGCAUUAAGUACCCCGCCUGGGGAGUACGGCCGCAAGGCUAAAACUCAAAGGAAUUGACGGGGGCCCGCACAAGCGGCGGAGCAUGUGGAUUAAUUCGAUGCAACGCGAAGAACCUUACCUGGGUUUGACAUGCACAGGACGCGUCUAGAGAUAGGCGUUCCCUUGUGGCCUGUGUGCAGGUGGUGCAUGGCUGUCGUCAGCUCGUGUCGUGAGAUGUUGGGUUAAGUCCCGCAACGAGCGCAACCCUUGUCUCAUGUUGCCAGCGGGUAAUGCCGGGGACUCGUGAGAGACUGCCGGGGUCAACUCGGAGGAAGGUGGGGAUGACGUCAAGUCAUCAUGCCCCUUAUGUCCAGGGCUUCACACAUGCUACAAUGGCCGGUACAAAGGGCUGCGAUGCCGUAAGGUUAAGCGAAUCCUUUGAUGGGNNUAAAGUCGCCUCUCAGUUCGGAUUGGGGUCUGCAACUCGACCCCAUGAAGUCGGAGUCGCUAGUAAUCGCAGAUCAGCAACGCUGCGGUGAAUACGUUCCCGGGCCUUGUACACGCCGCCCGU